rnacentral:rRNA from 1 species
CCUACGGGGGGCAGCAGUGAGGAAUAUUGGUCAAUGGGCGCGAGCCUGAACCAGCCAAGUCGCGUGAGGGAUGACGGUCCUACGGAUUGUAAACCUCUUUUGCCGGGGAGCAAGCGUGCGUUCGUGAACGCGCGUCGAGAGUACCCGGAGAAAAAGCAUCGGCUAACUCCGUGCCAGCAGCCGCGGUAAUACGGAGGAUGCGAGCGUUAUCCGGAUUUAUUGGGUUUAAAGGGUGCGUAGGCGGGAUGCCAAGUCAGCGGUAAAAAUGCGGUGCUCAACGCCGUCGAGCCGUGGAAACUGGCGUUCUUGAGGGGGCGAGAAGUAGGCGAAAGGCGGGGUGGAGCGGUGAAAGGCAUAGAUAUCACGCAGAACUCGGAUUGGGAAGGAAGCAUCCGGGCGCCCUACUGACGCUGGGGCACGAAAGCGGGGGUAUCGAACAGGAUUAGAUACCCCAGUAGUC